rnacentral:tRNA from 1 species
GCCCCUGUAGCUCAGUUGGAUAGAGCAUCGGAUUUCUAAUCCGGCGGUCACAGGUUCGAGUCCUGUCAGGGGUG